UACGUAGGUCCCGAGCGUUGUCCGGAUUUAUUGGGCGUAAAGCGAGCGCAGGUGGUUUAUUAAGUCUGGUGUAAAAGGCAGUGGCUCAACCAUUGUAUGCAUUGGAAACUGGUAGACUUGAGUGCAGGAGAGGAGAGUGGAAUUCCAUGUGUAGCGGUGAAAUGCGUAGAUAUAUGGAGGAAAACCGGUGGCGAAGGCAGGUCUCUGGGCCGUUACUGACGCUGAGGAGCGAAAGCGUGGGGAGCGAACAGG
rnacentral:rRNA from 1 species